rnacentral:rRNA from 1 species
AUUGAACGCUGGCGGCAGGCCUAACACAUGCAAGUCGAGCGAGCGGCGGACGGGUGAGUAAUGUAUGGGGACUGCCCGAUAGCGGGGGAUAACUACUGGAAACGGUAGCUAAUACCGCAUACUAUCGGAUAACCCAUAUGUGAUUAGCUAGUAGGUGAGGUAAUGGCUCACCUAGGCGACGAUUCGUAGCUGGUCUGAGAGGAUGAACAGCCGCCCGGGAACUGAGACGCGGCCCUGAGGCCUACGGAGGCAGCAGUGGGGAAUAUUGCACAAUGGGCGCAAGUCUGAUGCAGCCAUGCCGCGUGUAUGAAGAAGGCGCUAGGGUUGUAAAGUACGUUCAGUCGGUAUGCGUUACCGACAGAAGAAGCACCGGCUAACUCCGUGCCAGCAGCCGCGGUAAUAC